rnacentral:rRNA from 1 species
UACAGAGGGGGCAAGCGUUAUUCGGAAUUACUGGGCGUAAAGGGCGCGUAGGCGGCUUGGCAAGUGGAUGGUGAAAUCCCUCGGCUUAACCGAGGAACUGCCGUCCAAACUGCUUCGCUUGAGACCGGGAGAGGUGAGUGGAAUUCCCAGUGUAGCGGUGAAAUGCGUAGAUAUUGGGAGGAACACCAGUGGCGAAGGCGGCUCACUGGACCGGUACUGACGCUGAUGCGCGAAAGCGUGGGGAGCAAACGGG